CAUGCAGUCGAGCGCGAAACACUUCGGUGUGAGUAGAGCGGCGGACGGGUGAGUAACGCGUAAGAAUCUACCUAGUAGUGGGGGACAACUCGAGGAAACUCGAGCUAAUACCGCAUACGCCCUACGGGGGAAAGCGGGGGACCUUCAGGCCUCGCGCUAUUAGAUGAGCUUGCGUUGGAUUAGCUUGUUGGUGAGGUAAUGGCUCACCAAGGCUACGAUCCAUAGCUGGUCUGAGAGGAUGAUCAGCCACACCGGGACUGAGACACGGCCCGGACUCCUACGGGAGGCAGCAGUGGGGAAUAUUGCGCAAUGGGCGGAAGCCUGACGCAGCCAUGCCGCGUGUGUGAAGAAGGCCUUAGGGUUGUAAAGCACUUUCAAUUGGGAGGAAAAGCUAACGACUAAUACUCGUUAGCCUUGACGUUACCUUUAGAAGAAGCACCGGCUAACCCCGUGCCAGCAGCCGCGGUAAUACGGAGGGUGCAAGCGUUAAUCGGAAUUACUGGGCGUAAAGCGCGCGUAGGCGGCUUUUUAAGUCGGACGUGAAAGCCCCGGGCUCAACCUGGGAACUGCAUCCGAUACUGCUAGACUCGAGUACAGUAGAGGGGGUGUGGAAUUUCCUGUGUAGCGGUGAAAUGCGUAGAUAUAGGAAGGGAACACCAGGUGGGCGAAGGC
rnacentral:rRNA from 1 species